GGGGGGGGGGGGCGGCGGGCGGGGGACGGGCGGGGCGGGCGGGCGGGCGGGGGGCGUGCGCCUCGGACGUUGGCGGCGGACGGGGGAGGCACGCGUGGAUCACCUCCCUAUACGACCGGGGUAACCUCGGGACACCUGAGCUAAUACCGGAUACGCUAUUCAACCUCAUGGUUCCAUACUCAAAGACGGUUUUGCUGUCCCUUAUAGAUUGUGCCGCUCCGCCUUAGCUACUUGGUAAGGUACCGGCUUACCCAGGCAACUAAGCGUCGCCGACCUGCGAGGGAGAUCGGCCACACAGGCACUGAGACACGGUCCAGACUCCUACGGGAGGCAGCAGUAGGGAAUCUUACGCAAUGGGCGAAAGUCUAACGGAGCAACGCCGCGGGAGUGAUGAAGGUCUUCGGAUCGUAAAACUCUGUGAUUAGGGAAGAACAAAUGUGUAAGUAACUAUGCACGUCUUGACGGUACCUAAUCAGAAAGCCACGGCUAACUACGUG
rnacentral:rRNA from 1 species